rnacentral:rRNA from 1 species
ACGCUGGCGGCGUGCCUAAUACAUGCAAGUCGAGCGAGAAGCUUGGAAAUGACGCUUCGGUUGAAUUUCCAAGCGGACAGCGGCGGACGGGUGAGUAACGUGUAGGCAACCUGCCCCUGUACAGAGGGAUAGCCAUUGGAAACGAUGAUUAAAACCUCAUGACACCGUAGUAGCACAUGCUACAUCGGUCAAAGAUUUAUCGGUCAGGGAUGGGCCUGCGUCUGAUUAACUGGUUGGUGAGGUAACGGCUCACCAAGGUGACGAUCAGUAGCCGACCUGAGAGGGUGAUCGGCCACAUUGGAACUGAGACACGGUCCAAACUUCUACGGAAGGCAGCAGUAGGGAAUCUUGCACAAUGGGCGAAAGCCUGAUGCAGCAACGCCGCGUGAAGGAUGAAGGCUUCGGGUUGUAAACUUCUGUUCUAAGGGAAGAAAGAAAUGACGGUACCUUAGGAGCAAGCCCCGGCUAACUACGUGCCAGCAGCCGCGGUAAUACGUAGGGGGCAAGCGUUAUCCGGAAUUAUUGGGCGUAAAGAGUGCGUAGGUGGUUACCUAAGCGCAAGGUUUAAAUUAGAGGCUCAACCUCUACAUGCCUUGCGAACUGGGCUACUUGAGUGCAGGAGGGGAAAGCGGAAUUCCUAGUGUAGCGGUGAAAUGCGUAGAUAUUAGGAGGAACACCGGCGGCGAAGGCGGCUUUCUGGACUGUAACUGACACUGAGGCACGAAAGCGUGGGUAGCAAACAGGAUUAGAUACCCUGGUAGUCCACGCCGUAAACGAUGAGCACUAGGUGUUGGGUCCGUUAGGACUCAGUGCCGCAGUUAACGCAAUAAGUGUCCGCCUGGGAGUACGCUCGCAAGAGUAAACUCAAGGAAUUGACGGGCACCCGCACAAGCAGGGGAGCUUGUGGUUUAAUU